UACGUAGGGGGCAAGCGUUGUCCGGAAUCAUUGGGCGUAAAGAGCGCGUAGGCGGCCCUGUAAGUCCGCUGUGAAAGUCAAGGGCUCAACCCUUGAAUGCCGGUGGAUACUGCAGGGCUAGAGUCCGGAAGAGGCGAGUGGAAUUCCUGGUGUAGCGGUGAAAUGCGUAGAUAUCGAGAGGAACACCUGCGGCGAAGGCGGGUUGCUGGGCUGAUACUGACGCUGAGGCGCGAAAGCCAGGGGAGCGAACGGG
rnacentral:rRNA from 1 species